rnacentral:lncRNA from 1 species
CUCGUUUCAUCUAAUCUCACGUCAUUCUCUCUCUCUCUCUCUCUUUGAGCCCCAAUUCUCUUUCUCACCAUGGUCACAAUAAUGGGUGAGUGGCACCUUUGGUAGUUGGUUGUGGUUGAACGGAUGGGAAGGCUCCGUGACGGUGACAGGGACGUGGGGUUGGGUUUGAAAUGGGCGUCAGGACUUAGCCAAAGUAGGCUACAUUGUGCGGUGAAAAUGCUAGAAGCAAAACCACUUUAUUGUUAUUUUGUCAAUUAUGAUACACGAGUAAUUUUUAUUUUUAUUUUUUUGAAUUAAUCAAUUGCCUAGGGUUCAUAGGUGUAUGUUUCUUAAUAUAAAUUUUCUCUCUACAUUGUUCAAUUUACUUGUGGUAAAACGAGGGAGAGACCUUAAGAAUGUAAUGAAGACUUGAGACAUAGAUGCAUUCAUACUCUGCCUUUUCUACUUUGCUUUACAUUUUUACUAAAUCUUUAUAUGGUUUGGUUGAAGAUGAACACGCAGGGGAGGUGAAGGCAUUUUCUAUUAUCUUCUCUUUCUAAUAGGGUUCCUCCAUAAGAAGAUGACAGGCUCCAAUCCACCUCACUCAUUCAAGAAGGACCCAAAAGAAGAAUAACCUAAGAGUGGGUUGUUGGAAAAAAAAAUUCCAACUUUGGG